rnacentral:lncRNA from 1 species
GGGGGGGGUUAAUGGUAAACAAAUUGUGAUUGAUAAAGAUGAAUCCUUCGUUAGAUGUCUGCCUCCUACUGUAGGGUUUAUCAUUUACAAAUUAGGCCAAUUAUAUCAUAUUCUCAAGAAAAUAAAGAAGUCAAUCAAACCCCAGACCUUAAUAGAGGGGUGGACAGGGGUAAGGAGACAGGGGAAUGAGGGAUCAGGGAAAAGGGGGUAUCUUUGAAAUAUAUUUUGUCUUGGGGCAAGGAGAUGGAAGAAUUGAAGUAAAAAGGGGGGGGGGGGUUUAGAGUAAAAUGGGAAGGGAAAUAUAGUUGGGGUCAAGGAGUAGAAACUGUCCCGAUGGAAGUUAUGGGGUACCCCACAUACAUAUGACCCUAGUCCGAGAUUUCUCUGACGUCCAACGGCUGUUUUGCCAGACAAGCUGGGGCUAAUCUCGGACUAAUAUGAACCUAACUUGGCUACGAAAUAAGUUAUUAAAAAUGAU